ensembl:lncRNA
UGGAAACCCAGCGUGAGUUUCUCUGUGUUACUAGUGCUCGCCUCUGGAAACCCAGCAUGAGUUCUCUGUGUUACUAGUGCUCGCCCCCGCACACUAGUGCUUGACUUCAACCGGGUGGAGCACAUGCACUUCAACCAACAACAAAAUUCUAUGAAGAAGAGAAAUAAAGUGAAUUAGUGAAAACAAUUUAGGAGGCUCAAUUAGCAAACAAAACUGUAUGUUUUAUUUACCAAAACCAAUGAAAAAAUCAUAAAAUACAAGAAGUACAAAAGAGGUAAUAAAACAUAGUAAAUUUUAUUUUUCCUUAAAACUGGAAAAAUGGUCCUGAAUAGUUAGAUGUACCUUUUAGUCCUAGUGUCUAGCAAUCAAUUUGUAUGUUCUUUAUAGCUAUAUCAAAUGACAUUUCUACAGUGAUCUAAUUUCUAUCAUCUUUACUGUUGGUGUUCAAAAGCUACAAUAAAAAUGAAAACCACAGGAGACAGAGUGAUUCGUACGGUACCAAGCACUAUAUAGCUAUGGACGUGAAAGCCGAUUCCAGUUGGAUUAAUGGUUGCACGCACUCACCACACAGACACUCAAGACCCCUACAUCUCAGAUAUACUUCAUAACAUCAAAGUAUGUAAGUAUGUAUUUUGAGUUAUCUCAAUUCAGCUUGUAUGUUUUUACAAAUUAAUCUUGCAAUCAUUAAGCAAGGUGCUAUUAACAGAACAGGAUUUUAUUUGCUAAGUUUAACAAACUAAGCAUUUAAAGAAAAAAAUGAUUACAGUAAUAUUGAAAGAUACUUUUAUUGGCUUUUAAAAGACAAAUGCAAAUGAGAAUAUUUGAUAAAUCAAUUUUUUGAAUUGUCUUAGAUGUAAAUAAAUAUAAGAUCUAAUGUAAUAUCUUCUUGUAAGAACUGCUAAGGUGAGUAAUCCUUAAAUGUAAGCUUCUCAUUCGAAAACCCCUAAAACUAGUAUUGCCGCUUAGCUUUUCUUUAAACAACGUUUGGUUUACUCAUUUUCUUAAAGUUCAUCUGAAACCACUCUAUCUUGAACAAAGUUUAUUUCUAUAUAUUUAGUUUACUUAAUUUUAAAUUAAUGAAAAGAAAUCUAGACACAAUUCUAAGAAAAGAAUGUAAAAAGCAACUUAUGCAUGGUUAUUUACAGUUUCCCUAAAUAAUAUCAUACUCAAAAAUUUGACAAAUCUUUUCUAAUAAUCACACUGCAAGUUUUAAUAAACAUUAUCUAUAGCAAAGAAUAUUUCAUGUUUGGAAAUACCAAAUGAAUCUAAGAGCCAGAAACUAAAGCAUUUGACAAGAUUAAUAAUGUAAUUUUUAUUACACUAGUGGUCAAGUUAGAAGCAUUUACAUGCUGGAAGUGUUUAUCACUCAACUCUUCCAAUUAUAUCAAACACUGAUUAACCAAGUGUGACCGGACUUUGCUGCAACAACUUUAUGGAUUCUUUCAAGUAUAUGCGUAUCUUUUAAAUAGGCACAUAUACAAAUGUGCAAAAUAAAUGAAAUACAGAUAAUUAAACAAUGAGCAGAAUGGCUUUUAAGCUUAAACCACCCUGCCAUUUCAUGUUGAAGCUCCACCUCUCUCUAAGUUUUCUUCUGCUCUCAGCAGUCUUCUAUCUUAGCAAAGCUGCAGGUUUACAGAUGACGUGGACAUUUCACAUUGGUAUAAGAAAGGAAUGUUGGCUUGAUGCAAUCUAGAGACAAAGAAAAAAGCACUCUUAAAAUGUAUUAUACUUGAAAUCAUAAUACAGUACAAACACAUUUUAC